GCAAGUCGAGCGCGAAAGUGGCUUCGGUCACGAGUAGAACGGCGAACGGGUGAGUAACGCGUGGAUAACCUGCCUAGAUGUGGGGGAUAACUCGGGGAAACUUGAGCUAAUACCGCAUAAGUUCUUUUGGUCUCGGCCGAAAGAGGAAAGGCCGCCUCUCCUUGGAAGCGGUUGCAUUUAGAGGGGUCCGCGGUUGAUUAGCUAGUUGGUGAGGUAAUGGCUCACCAAGGCUCCGAUCAAUAGCCGGCCUGAGAGGGCGAUC
rnacentral:rRNA from 1 species